rnacentral:rRNA from 1 species
CAUAAGCGGAGGAAAAGAAACUAACAAGGAUUCCCCUAGUAACUGCGAGUGAAGCGGGAAAAGCUCAAAUUUGAAAUCUGGCGGUCCUUGGCCGUCCGAGUUGUAAUCUAGAGAAGUGUUACCCGCGCUGGACCGUGUACAAGUCUCCUGGAAUGGAGCGUCAUAGAGGGUGAGAAUCCCGUCUCUGACACGGACUCCCAGGGCUUUGUGGUAUGCUCUCAAAGAGUCGAGUUGUUUGGGAAUGCAGCUCAAAAUGGGUGGUAAAUUCCAUCUAAAGCUAAAUAUUGGCGAGAGACCGAUAGCGAACAAGUACCGUGAGGGAAAGAUGAAAAGAACUUUGGAAAGAGAGUUAAACAGUACGUGAAAUUGCUGAAAGGGAAACGCUUGAAGUCAGUCGCGUUGGCCAGGGAUCAGCCUCGCAUUUGCGUGGUGCACUUUCUGGUUGACGGGUCAGCAUCAAUUUUGGYCACUGGAAAAAGUCCUGAGGAAUGUGGCAGCUCCGGCUGUGUUAUAGCCUCUGGUCGCAUACAGUGGUUGGGAUUGAGGAACUCAGCACGCCGCAAGGCCGGGUUUCGACCACGUUCGUGCUUAGGAUGCUGGCAUAAUGGCUUUAAGCGACCCGUCUUGAAACACGGACCAAGGAGUCUAACAUGCCUGCGAGUGUUUGGGUGGAAAACCCGAGCGCGUAAUGAAAGUGAAAGUUGAGAUCCCUGUCGUGGGGAGCAUCGACGCCCGGACCAGAACUUUUGGGACGGAUCCGCGGUAGAGCAUGUAUGUUGGGACCCGAAAGAUGGUGAACUAUGCCUGAAUAGGGUGAAGCCAGAGGAAACUCUGGUGGAGGCUCGUAGCGAUUCUGACGUGCAAAUCGAUCGUCAAAUUUGGGUAUAGGGGCGAAAGACUAAUCGAACCAUCUAGUAGCUGGUUCCUGC